GGGGAUAGCUCGCUGAAAGGCGAAUUAAUACCGCAUGUGAUUGUAAGAUUAAAGCAGGGGAUCGUAAGACCUUGCGCUUCGAGAUGGGGCUGCGGCCUAUCAGCUUGUUGGUGAGGUAACGGCUCACCAAGGCGAUGACGGGUAGCUGGUCUGAGAGGACGACCAGCCACAGUGGAACUGAGAGACGGUCCACACACCUACGGGUGGCAGCAGUCGAGGAUCUUGGACAAUGGGCGCAAGCCUGAUCCAGCGACGCCGCGUGGGGGAUGAAGGUCUUCGGAUUGUAAACCCCUGUCACUUGGGAAAAACGCUUUGAACCUAAUACGUUCAAAGUUGAUGGUACCAGGAGAGGAAGGGACGGCUAACUCUGUGCCAGCAGCCGCGGUAAUACAGAGGUCCCAAGCGUUGUUCGGAUUUACUGGGCUUAAAGGGUGCGCAGGCGGUCAGAUAAGUCGGGUGUGAAAUCCCAAGGCUUAACCUUGGAACUGCGCCCGAAACUGUUUGGCUCGAGGAUUGGAGAGGAGACUGGAAUUCACGGUGUAGCGGUGAAAUGCGUAGAUAUCGUGAGGAACACCAAUGGCGAAGGCAGGUCUCUGGACAAUUUCUGACGCUCAUGCACGAAAGCCAGGGGAGCAAACGGGAUUAGAUACCCCGGUAGUCCUGGCCCUAAACGGUGUUCACUUGCCGUAGGGGGAUUCGACCCCUUCUGUGGCGAAGCGAAAGCAUUAAGUGAACCGCCUGGGGAGUACGGUCGCAAGAUUAAAACUCAAAGAAAUUGACGGGGGCCCGCACAAGCGGUGGAGCAUGUGGCUUAAUUCGAUGCAACGCGAAGAACCUUACCUGGCCUUGACAUCUAACGUGAAAGUCGGUGAAAGCCGAUGACGGCCCGAAAGGGUGCUGGGGUUAGACAGGUGCUGCAUGGUUGUCGUCAGCUCGUGUCGUGAGAUGUUGGCUUAAGUGCCGCAACGAGCGCAACCCCUGUGAUUAGUUGCCAGUCAGGCGCAAGCUUGGCGCACUCUAAUCAGACUGCCCCGAUUCUUAUCUGGGAGGAAGGUGGGGAUGACGUCAAAUCAGUAUGGCCCUUACGGCCAGGGCUGCACACGUGCUACAAUGCCCGGUACAGUGGGACGCAAGACCGCAAGGUGGAGCAAACCCCCAAAACCGGGCUCAGUUCAGAUUGAAGGCUGCAACUCGCCUCCAUGAAGCUGGAAUCGCUAGUAAUGGUACAUCAGCAACGUUACCGUGAAUACGUUCCCGGGCCUUGUACACACCGCCCGUCACAUCAUGGGAGCCGACUGCACCCGAAGUCGCCGCGCUAACCGCAAGGAAGCAGGCGCCGAAGGUAUGGUUGGUGACUGGGAUGAAGUCGUAACAAGGUA
rnacentral:rRNA from 1 species